rnacentral:pre_miRNA from 1 species
UAUUAAAAAUUUAAUCCAUUUUUACGGUUAAAAUUAAUGUGGCUGACAAAAUAACCAAAUAGUUAUACAUAACAUGCCAUAUGUGCCUCACGCUAACAUAUAGGGACCAAACUUUAACAGUAGGAAUUGAUGGAUUUUUUAAUA